rnacentral:rRNA from 1 species
CGAGUUAUCCAACUCCCAACCCCUGUGAAUUAUACCUUUAAUUGUUGCUUCGGCGGGACUUCGCGCCCGCCGGGGACCCAAACCUUCUGAAUUUUUUAAUAAGUAUCUUCUGAGUGGUUAAAAAAAAAAUGAAUCAAAACUUUCAACAACGGAUCUCUUGGUUCUGGCAUCGAUGAAGAACGCAGCGAAAUGCGAUAAGUAAUGUGAAUUGCAGAAUUCAGUGAAUCAUCGAUCUUUGAACGCACAUUGCGCCCGUCAGUAUUCUGGCGGGCAUGCCUGUUCGAGCGUCAUUACGCCCCUCAAGUCCCCUGUGGACUUGGUGUUGGCCAUCGGCGAGGCUGGUUAUAUGCUAUUACAGCCGUCCCUUAAAUUAAUUGGCGGUCUCGCCGUGGCCCUCCUCUGCCAGUAGUAAAGCACUCGCAACAGGAGCCGGCGGUCCACUGCCGUAAAACCCCCCAACUAAAUAUAUGCAUAGUUGACCUCGAAAAUCGGAC